UGAUGCAGCAACGCCGCGUGAACGAUGAAGGUCUUCGGAUCGUAAAGUUCUGUUGCAGGGGAAGAUAAUGACGGUACCCUGUGAGGAAGCCCCGGCUAACUACGUGCCAGCAGCCGCGGUAAUACGUAGGGGGCUAGCGUUAUCCGGAUUUACUGGGCGUAAAGGGUGCGUAGGUGGUCCUUCAAGUCGGUGGUUAAAGGCUACGGCUCAACCGUAGUAAGCCGCCGAAACUGGAGGACUUGAGUGCAGGAGAGGAAAGUGGAAUUCCCAGUGUAGCGGUGAAAUGCGUAGAUAUUGGGAGGAACACCAGUAGCGAAGGCGGCUUUCUGGACUGCAACUGACACUGAGGCACGAAAGCGUGGGUAGCAAACAGGAUUAGAUACCCUGGUAGUCCACGCUGUAAACGAUGAGUACUAGGUGUCGGGGGUUACCCCCUCGGUGCCGCAGCUAACGCAUUAAGUACUCCGCCUGGGGAGUACGCACGCCAGUGUGAAACUCAAAGGAAUUGACGGGGACCCGCACAAGUAGCGGAGCAUGUGGUUUAAUUCGAAGCAACGCGAAGAACCU
rnacentral:rRNA from 1 species